rnacentral:lncRNA from 1 species
GCGGCCCGGAGCUGCCGAGCCGGGUGGACAGGUGGGCGUGGACAGCGCGACCGGCGGAGCUGGCCCGCCAUCCUGCCGCGGCCCUGACCCCCGGGGUGCGCUGGCUGCUGGGGUCAAAUCCGAGCUGACCUUUCUCCGGGGGAAAGAUAAAUUAUUAUGGUUGUGUGUGAGCGUCAGUGCAAAUGUUUUCCGAGUCCUCCUCCGGCUCCGGGUGCUGUUUGAAUCCCCCGCAUUCCUCAGCCCUGGGCAGGGAGCGGCCGCGGCCUUUGUGUCUCCGGGGAGCGCACGCCACCUCGGAAGCGACAGCGAACCAGAGUUAAAGAACAGGAGAGACAUUAGCCAAAGAAGAGCAUCUGUCCGCCAGCCUGGGCUUUGUCUUCCCUUGCUCUGCGACUGCACCAGCACAGAAACGCUACAUAAGGAGGCUUUUCAGCAGCGGAGCCUGGCGUUGAACUCGUGCCAUGGGGAAUGAAUUCUUCCAUAGACCCCUCAUCCUCUUCUGGAAGUUAAAGAGGGGCGAUUUGCAAAAAAGCAUAUGUGUGUGAAUGCAUCUUCCUGUCCUAGCAUUCUGUUCCUUUGUGCCUUUAAGUUCCCGUGCUUCAGUGUGGACUCGUCUUUUUACUGUGAUGAGAUCCCCAGUGGCAGUGCAGCUCAGGACCCUCACUAGCCUCCACACGCAUAGUUCCCACUGAUAGUGGCAGUGUAAACUGAUUUUGACAGUACAAGCUUUAUUCCUGCUGAAAAAUACUGGCUCUUACAGAAUUCAUUUGCAAAGCUAGCAAUUAGACAACCAAUGCUCAUGGCACUGUUGCUAAAGGGAAAAUUCAGUAUUGCUAGACAUCAAAUAUGGGCUCUGCAAUGUUUUUAUGGGGAAAAGAUAUGUAUGUAGAGAGGCCACUGCACAAUGCAGGGCUUAGAGAUGGCUCUGAAGCACUGUCAGUUAUCAUCGGUUUCUGUUUGACUUAAAAGCUCCUCUGUAUCAUCGUCGGC